AAGUGCUUAUUAGUCAGCUUGAUCUUCAAGGCUCUGGCGUUCUGGGCCGUUUUCAAAGCUCGAGAUAAAUUUUCCGCGGUUAGGUCUAAAUAGAUGGCGUUGUUCUCCGCAGAGAUGCCCUCCAUCUGGAACUCGCUGAAGAAGUUCUCCUGAGGGAAGGCGAGGAGGGGACCCUGUGGCCUUUCCCAGGGCUCCCGCGGAGGUGCCCCGGCCGCCCGCGCCUCCUCUCACCUGCUCCAGCUCACACCACAUGCUCACCCCUGCGCUGGCCACUCUGUCCGACAGCACGAAGUUCAGCUUCUCCGGGCUGAUGCGCAGCGUGCAGGUCUUGGCCAGCUUGGCGAUCAUGGCACUGACCCCUGCGGGGAGCGAGGGCGCAGGGCAGCUGCUUCAGGAGGCUGGGACACACGCAGGACAGAGGCGGAGACCCAGGCGGAGGCAGAAGCAGGCCGCACGCAGGGAGCCCGCCGGGGACCCGACCCGACCCGGACCCGGACCGGACCGGACCGGACCGCCGCAGCAGCCCCCAGCCCGAGCGCCGGCCGCCCCCCGUGUCGGGCGCUGAUGGGCGCGCUCGCCCCGCCUGCACUCAGGGUGUCCGUCGAAACACGCGCACUUAGUCCCCCGGUGUUUCCGGCGCCCUUCUCUGGGCCUUUCUAGUCCUUGUUGGUUUCGCCCUCUUUCCCCCUUAGAAUCCCUUGCCGGACGGGCUCAGCGGUCCUGAACUCCUUUAUUCGUUGCCUGUCUGGGGAACUCCCGAUCUCUCCUUCCGUCCUGGACGACAGCCUCGCCGAAGAAAGGAUUCUUGGCUGCGCACUAUUCCCAUUCAGCAAAUUGAACAUGUCCUUCCCCUCCUUUCUGGGCUGCCGAGUCUGUGGGCAGAUCCGCCGAAACUCGACUCACCUCCUCGUCGGUCGGGGACUCCCGCCCCCGCAGCCCCGCCUCGGCCGUCAGGACCCUCUCCUUGUCUGUGUGUCUCGUGAGUCCAGCUGCCACGUGCCCCGGCGGCGUCGGCUGCUCGCGAACUUAGUGGGAGUUCUCUGUGCUCUCGGUUUCAGUGUCUGUGUCCUUCCUCGGGUUAGAGAAGUUUACAUAAUUUGUCCAAAUAAAACUUCUGCCCCUUUUUCUCUCUC